CUUCUGCUCUGUCCAACUGGCUUCUACCGGUAGGUGACAGGGCAGUGUUCCCAGCAGUGGGACAAGAGGCACUGGCACCAGGCCAUGAGCCAUGCAUUCCUAGCUCUGCAGGGCAUGCAUGCCACGCGGACUGUGACAGUGAGCUCUUCCAGGCCCCCAGUGAGCCUGAGAGGGGGUCUGGGAAGAGUCAAGAGACACCCAGACAGUGCCAUGUGGCAGUGAAGCCUCUGGUCCCAAUCUGCCAGGGUGCAAAGCCCCAGGACUGCUGGUGGGAUGUUGGCACUACCCCGUUUUCCUUUUCCAGCUACAACAGAAUGGCAGAGAGGAAAGGACCCUCCGGGAUCUUCCAGUUCAGCCAGCCCAUUUUACAGAGGUGGAGACUGAGGCCAGAGCCCACCUUGCAGAUGAAGAAAGUGAGGCUCAGAGAACCAGUUUCCCGAGGACACCUGGCCCCACGGCGUGCCUGAAUCCGGGGCACGCGCUUCCUGCUUUGGCACACUACGGCUCCUUUUCAAAACGAUGUUUGUGAAAAUUAGUCUCAGUAAAGACAGCUAAGAAGGAUGGGUUGGGAUGUUUUUAGCUGCCUGUAAGCCAGAUAAAAGGUUCUGUUGUUGCAAAAAUGCUUUUCUUGGGUAUGCUAUAAGCAUCCGUUAAUUUCAGAAAUUAUCCAGCCUCACUAAGUAGAAAUGAUGGGUGGCUUUUCGAAUUCGAGAUGAAGAUGGGUUUUUUUUUAAAUGUUGUUGAUGGUGGUUUAUUUAUGACAGACUCUUUUCAUACCCUGAGUGUAAUAGCUUAAAUUUCAACGAGUCAGGGACCACUUUUAUUUUUUCAUCUAUGCAGCCCUGGCAGAGUAGGUACCUUAUUAGCAUUUACUGAAAAGGAGAUUUUUCUGAAUGGCCACUCAGAAAACUACAAUUGUGCAAUCAUCUGUAUUCACGUGUAAGUGGAUAGGCAGAUAGUAAGUUGAAUUAAUUAAUUAAUUAAUUGGAGCCCAACAAGGCAUGACUUCGAGUUACAAGUAGCCAGGAACCACCAGUUUGAGAUCUCUGAUUAAGGUAAGGUGGAGAAGUAUUUUAAGGGGAAGAUCACAAGCUAAGGAAACAGCUGAAAAUUUGACAAAAGAAAUUCCAAAUUUGGGUUCCUAUACUCUGUGAAUAAUGCCAACAGCCCCCUCCAGACUUAAGCUGCAGGCACAGCAAAGCUAGAGGGGCUCGUACUCGUUUUCACCAGGUUAUGCUGCAUAAGAAACAACCUCAAUCUCAGUUUCUUGCAGCAAUAAAUCUUUAUUUCUUCCUCAGGUUGUGUGCCAGUGGCAGGGGGAACUGCUGCCACAAGCUCUAGUGCGGGCUGUGGCCAGAGUCAGGCCUGGUCCACGUGUCUCUCAUCCCAGGGCCCAGGGCAGGAGUGCAAGGUGGUAGGAGGAACUUGCAACGCCUCUUAAAGCCUCCACUGGAAUCCAUCACGUUGUCACACGGGCCCACAUUUUGGGGGAAAAUAAAGUCACGCAGUCAAGUCAACAUCAACUGACAGAGCUGGUGAUGAAUAGUUGCUAAACAAAGAUGCAAUUUACUACCAGGAUUUAGGGAACUGUGAGUCCAGGGGAGUUCAACCGUUCUCAGAAGGGGCCUUUCCAACCACCUUGGGGCACAGGGGAGGAGGGAAAGAAAGGAGUCCAAAUGGACAGGGUUCUAAGAUUCCUGCCUUCAACACCACCACCUCCGCUUUAUCCAUUGGGUUGCCAUGUGUGUUUUCACCUCAAAGCUGCUUUAAAAAAUGGAAAAAAAAAUGACCUGAUAUUAACACAAUUCUCUCAUAUUACACAGAUGAAGAUCAAGACCUCAAAAGGAGAUAGGCAUGAAUAGGCCUAUGACAGGCCUAU
rnacentral:lncRNA from 1 species